GACGUAGGAUGCGAGCGUUGUCCGGAAUUAUUGGGCGUAAAGAGAACGUAGGCGGUUCACUAAGUCUGGAGUUAAAGACCGAGGCUCAACCUCGGGAGUGCUCUGGAAACUGGUGGGCUGGAGGGCGGCAGAGGAAAGUGGAAUUCCCAGUGUAGCGGUGAAAUGCGUAGAUAUUGGGAGGAACACCAGUGGCGAAAGCGACUUUCUGGGCCGCACCUGACGCUGAGGUUCGAAAGCCAGGGGAGCAAACGGG
rnacentral:rRNA from 1 species